rnacentral:piRNA from 1 species
UAGAACUACAACACGGCACAAGGUAAG